AGUGAACGCUGGCGGUAGGCCUAACACAUGCAAGUCGAACGGCAGCACAUUAAGAGCUUGCUCUAACGGGCGUCGAGUGGAAGACGGGUGUGGAAUACAUCCGAAUCUACCUUUUCGUGGGGGAAAACGUAGGGAAACUUACGCAAAUACCGCAAACGACCUACGGGUGAAAGCAGGGGAUCUUCGGACCUUGCGCGAUUGAUUGACCAGAGGUCGGAUUAGCUAGUUGGCGGGGUAAAGGCCCACCAAGGCAAGGAUCCGUAGCGGGUCUGAGAGAAUGAUGAGCCACACGGGAACUGGACAACGGUCCAGCUUCCUAGGGAAGGCGCCAGUGGGGAAUAUUGGACAAUGGGGGCAAGCCGGAGCCAGCCAUACCGCGUAGUUGUAAAAGGCCUUCGGUUUUUAAGGUCCUUUUGUUGGGAAAGAAAGGCAGCAGGUUAAUACCCCGCUGGUCUGACGGUACCCAAAUAGUAAGCACCGGCUAACUACGUG
rnacentral:rRNA from 1 species